UGGGGAAUCUUCCGCAAUGGGCGAAAGCCUGACGGAGCAACGCCGCGUGAGUGAAGACGGCCUUCGGGUUGUAAAACUCUGUGAUUCGGGACGAAAGAUAAGCAGACGAAUAAUCUGCAUAAGUGACGGUACCGAAAAAGCAAGCCACGGCUAACUACGUGCCAGCAGCCGCGGUAAUACGUAGGUGGCAAGCGUUGUCCGGAAUUAUUGGGCGUAAAGCGCGCGCAGGCGGCUACUUAAGUCCAUCUUAAAAGUGCGGGGCUUAACCCCGGGAUGGGAUGGAAAAUGAGCAGCUGGAGUGUCGGAGAGGAAAGUGGAAUUCCUAUUGUAGCGGUGAAAUGCGUAGAGAUUAUGAAGAACACCGGUGGCGAAGGCGACUUUCUGGACGACAACUGACGCUUAGGCGCGAAAGCGUGGGGAGCAAACAGG
rnacentral:rRNA from 1 species